AGAUUGAGCCAUGCCGCCUAGAAAAGCUUCUAAGCGUUGAUAUUUGAGUGACCGUACCGCAAACCGACACUGGUAGGUGGGUAGAAUAUACCAAGGGGAGCGAGAGAACCCUCGUUAAGGAAUUAGGCAAAUUUCCCCCGUACGUUCGCAAUAAGGGGGGCCUCUGGUGGUGAGCUUAAUCGCAAAGCUGCUGGAGGCCGCAGAGAAAUGGCUCUUCCAACUGUUUAACAAAAACACAGGUCUCUGCUAAGUCGAAAGACGAAGUAUAGGGGCUGACGCCUGCCCAGUGCCGGAAGGUUAAGGGGAGAGGUUAGGCGCAAGCCGAAGCUUUGAGCCGAAGCCCCAGUGAACGGCGGCCGUAACAAUAACGGUCCUAAGGUAGCGAAAUUCCUUGUCGGGUAAGAUCCGACCCGCACGAAUGGCGUAAUGAGAGGAGCACUGUCUCAACGAGGGACUCGGCGAACAUUGAAGGACGUGUGAAGAUACACGUGACCCGCAGCGGGACAAAAAGACCCCGUGAAGCUUUACUACAACUUGCCAUUGAGUUAGGGCUAAACCUGUGUAGUAUAGGUGGGAGGCUUUGAAGCUGGGACGCCAGUCUCGGUGGAGCCACCGUUGAAAUACCACCCUGGUUUAUUCUUGGCUCUAACCUGUCGCCGUUAUCCGGCAUGGGAACAGUGGCUGGUGGGUAGUUUGACUGGGGCGGUCGCCUCCGAAAGCGUAACAGAGGCGCCCAAAGGUUCCCUCAGGCUGAAUGGAAACCAGCCGUUGAGUGUAAAGGCACAAGGGAGCUUGACUGCAAGACCAACAAGUCGCGCAGGGACGAAAGUCGGGCUUAGUGAUCCCACGGUUCAGAGUGGAAUGGCCGUGGCUUACCGGAUAAAAGCUACUCCGGGGAUAACAGGGUAGUCUGGUCCAAGAGUUCAUAUCGACGACCAGGUUCGCCACCUCGAUGUCGGCUCAUCACAUCCUGGGGCUGGAUAAGGUCCCAAGGGUUGGGCUGUUCGCCCAUUAAAGUGGUACGUGAGCUGGGUUCAGACCGUCGUGAGACAGGUCGGUCUCUAUCCGCUGUGGGCGUAAGGGAUUUGGGAGAAGCUGCCCCUAGUACGAGAGGACCGGGGUGGACGGACCUCUAGUGUGCCAGUUGUUCUGCCAAGAGCAUUGCUGGGUAGCUACGUCCGGCAGAGAUAACCGCUGAAAGCAUCUAAGUGGGAAACUCGUCUCAAGAUUAGAUCUCUCAUCCGUAUGGAGUAAGACCGCUAGAAGAUUACUAGUUUGAUAGGCGGCAGGUGUAAGCGCAGUAAUGUGUUCAGCUUAGCCGUACUAAUGGUCGAGGGCUUACGUUU
rnacentral:rRNA from 1 species